CGGUGGGACACGCCGCCCCAACGCGGCGCUAAAUAGCUGGAAGGCUACACAUA
rfam:Paracoccus halophilus strain JCM 14014 Contig_4, whole genome shotgun sequence.